GACAGAGAUCACAAGUAUGCAGAGAGGCAGGCAGAGAGAGAGGAGGAAGCAGGCUCCCUGCCGAGCAGAGAGUCCGAUGUGGGGCUCCAUCCCAGGACCCUGGGAUCACAAUCCGAGCCAAAGAAAGAAGCCCCUUCUUCCCCUGCCCCAGCCACUGGCUACCACCAGUCUGCUUUCUGCCUCCGGGAAUCUGCCAGUUCUGGAUGUUUCCUGGAAGUAGAGUCUUAGGGCCUCCGGGCUAGGCUCAGAGCUGCAGGCUGGAGGAGAAUAUGCCUCCCGGACUCCUGUGGCCCCCACCACCACUCCGUCGCCUGUCUGGAUCCCACUUCCCUAGCUUCCCAGGACAAAGCUUGAGGAACCCUGAUGUUUUGUAAAAAGCAAGCAUGACUUGAUCACUGGAGCAAUAAUGCCAGCCGGCCCUUUCCAACAGCUCGGACUAACCAGCAAGUGAUUCCCAAAGGUGCGGCGGAGGGAGACGCCGCCUUAAGGGACCGGAAGACCAUGGCUCAGCGGCUCGGCUGGUUGCUCGGCGGCCACCUUUGCUUAAGGCGGCUGUUCCAGCUCGCAGGGGCAUCCUGAGUAGUCAGCGUGGGACAUUCCUGGUGACCCUGGCUGAACUCGGGACUUCAGGCCUCUGCAGGGGCAGCCCCCUCCGCUUGCGACCAGUGCACUUCGAAGGGCGGCGGAACCCAGCGGUGUGGCUGGGGGUGGGGAGCAGAUUCCCUUUUCGCGUUUUUAAUUACCUUUAAGGCUUCUUGGUUCUUUUUCACUUAUUGGCUUGUCUAACCUCAGCUGUAUUGGCUAAAACUGUUUAAAAGCGAGAUUUAACUGGGUAAA